GACGAACGCUGGCGGCGUGCUUAACACAUGCAAGUCGAACGGAAAGGCCCCUUUGGGGGUCCUCGAGUGGCGAACGGGUGCGUAACACGUGAGUAACCUGCCCUUGACUUCGGGAUAACUUCAGGAAACUGGGGCUAAUACCGGAUAGGAAUCCUUGCUGCAUGGUGGGGGUUGGAAAGCUUCGGCGGUUUUGGAUGGACUCGCGGCUUAUCAGCUUGUUGGUGGGGUAGUGGCUUACCAAGGCUUUGACGGGUAGCCGGCCUGAGAGGGCGACCGGCCACAUUGGGACUGAGAUACGGCCCAGACUCCUACGGGAGGCAGCAGUGGGGAAGAUUGCACAAUGGGCGGAAGCCUGAUGCGGCAACGCCGCGUGCGGGAUGACGGCCUUCGGGUUGUAAACCGCGUUCAGCAGGGGCGAAGCUUGUGGUGACGGUACCUGCAGAAGAAGCACCGGCUAACUACGUG
rnacentral:rRNA from 1 species